GGGUAGCUGGUCUGAGAGGAUGGUCAGCCACACUGGAACUGAGACACGGUCCAGACUCCUACGGGAGGCAGCAGUGGGGAAUAUUGCGCAAUGGGCGGAAGCCUGACGCAGCGACGCCGCGUGAGCGAUGAAGGCCUUCGGGUCGUAAAGCUCUGUUGGAAGUGAACGAAAAAGUCCAUGGUUAAUAUCCAUAGACCCUGACGGUACUCUUCCAGAAAGCACCGGCUAACUCCGUUGCCAGCAGCCGCGGUAAUACGGAGGGUGCUAGCGUUGUUCGGAAUCAUUGGGCGUAAAGCGCGGGUAGGCGGGGCGGCGUGUCGGAUGUGAAAGCCCUCGGCUCAACCGAGGAAUUGCAUCCGAAACUGUCGCUCUUGAGUACGGGAGAGGGAACCGGAAUUUCCAGUGUAGAGGUGAAAUUCGUAGAUAUUGGAAGGAACACCGGUGGCGAAGCCGGCUUCCUGGCCCGAUACUGACGCUGAGACGCGAAAGCGUGGGUAGCAAACAGGAUUAGAUACCCUGGUAGUCCACGCAGUAAACGAUGAGCACUAGGUGUUGCGGGUAUCGACCCCUGC
rnacentral:rRNA from 1 species